rnacentral:lncRNA from 1 species
AUGAGAGGGGGUCACUGUAUUUCCCCUGUCUCUCUCUGUCUCUGUCCUCUUUCUCUCUGUCUCUGUCCUCUUUCUCUCUCUCUCUGUCUCUGUCCUCUUUCUCUCUGUCUCUGUCCUCUUUCUCUCUGUCUCUGUCUCUGUCCUCUUUCUCUCUGUCUCUGUCCUCUUUCUCUCUCUCUGUCUCUGUCCUCUUUCUCUCUGUCUCUGUCCUCUUUCUCUUUCUCUCUGUCUCUGUCCUCUUUCUCUUUCUCUCUGUCUCUGUCCUCUGUCUCUUUCUCUCUGUCUCUGUCCUCUUUCUCUCUGUCUCUGUCCUCUUUCUCUCUCUCUCUGUCUCUGUCCUCUGUCUCUUUCUCUCUGUCUCUGUCCUCUUUCUCUCUGUCCUCUUUCUCUUUCUCUCUGUCUCUGUCCUCUUUCUCUCUGUCUCUGUCCUCUUUCUCUUUCUCUCUGUCUCUGUCCUCUUUCUCUCUGUCUCUGUCCUCUUUCUCUUUCUCUCUGUCUCUGUCCUCUUUCUCUUUCUCUCUGUCUCUGUCCUCUUUCUCUCUCUCUCUGUCUCUGUCCUCUUUCUCUUUCUCUCUGUCUCUGUCCUCUUUCUCUUUCUCUCUGUCUCUGUCCUCUUUCUCUUUCUCUCUGUCUCUGUCCUCUUUCUCUCUGUCUCUGUCCUCUUUCUCUUUCUCUCUGUCUGUCUCUCUUUCUCUUUCUCUCUGUCCUCUUUCUCUCUCUCUCUGUCUCUGUCCUCUUUCUCUCUGUCUCUGUCUCUCUUUCUCUUUCUCUCUGUCCUCUUUCUCUCUGUCUCUGUCCUCUUUCUCUUUCUCUCUGUCUCUCUUUCUCUUUCUCUCUGUCUGUCCUCUUUCUCUCUCUGUCUCUGUCCUCUUUCUCUUUCUCUCUGUCUGUCCUCUUUCUCUCUCUCUCUGUCUCUGUCCUCUUUCUCCGUCUCUCUUUCUCUGUGUCAUUUGUUUUGUUGUCUCCAGAAGUAACACAUCUUCUUUAGACUCUGUAGGAGGAGUGGAUGAACCGUUGGCGCAGGGUCAGAUAUUUAUCUGCCAUUAG